rnacentral:rRNA from 1 species
AUUGAACGCUGGCGGCAGGCCUAACACAUGCAAGUCGAACGGUAGCACAGAGGAGCUUGCUCCUCGGGUGACGAGUGGCGGACGGGUGAGUAAUGUCUGGGGAUCUGCCCGAUAGAGGGGGAUAACCACUGGAAACGGUGGCUAAUUCCGCAUAACGUCGCAAGACCAAAGAGGGGGACCUUCGGGCCUCUCACUAUCGGAUGAACCCAGAUGGGAUUAGCUAGUAGGCGGGGUAACGGCCCACCUAGGCGACGAUCCCUAGCUGGUCUGAGAGGAUGACCAGCCACACUGGAACUGAGACACGGUCCAGACUCCUACGGGAGGCAGCAGUGGGGAAUAUUGCACAAUGGGCGCAAGCCUGAUGCAGCCAUGCCGCGUGUAUGAAGAAGGCCUUCGGGUUGUAAAGUACUUUCAGCGGGGAGGAAGGCGAUAAGGUUAAUAACCUUGUCGAUUGACGUUACCCGCAGAAGAAGCACCGGCUAACUCCGUGCCAGCCGCCGCCGUAA